UACAGAGGGUGCGAGCGUUGUCCGGAAUCACUGGGCGUAAAGGGCGCGUAGGUGGUGGCUUAAGCGUGCGGUGAAAGCUCGGAGCUCAACUCCGAGUCGGCCGUGCGAACUGGGCUCACUGGAGCAUAGUAGAGGCAGGUGGAAUUCCGGGUGUAGUGGUGAAAUGCGUAGAGAUCCGGAGGAACACCAGUGGCGAAGGCGACACGCUGGGCCGUACCUGACACUGAUGCGCGACAGCAUGGGGAGCAAACAGG
rnacentral:rRNA from 1 species